AUUGAACGCUGGCGGCAGGCCUAACACAUGCAAGUCGAACGAGUGGCGGACGGGUGAGUAAUGUCUGGGAAACUGCCCGAUGGAGGGGGAUAACUACUGGAAACGGUAGCUAAUACCGCAUACCAUCGGAUGUGCCCAGAUGGGAUUAGCUAGUAGGUGGGGUAACGGCUCACCUAGGCGACGAUCCCUAGCUGGUCUGAGAGGAUGAUCAGCGACACUGGAACUGAGACACGGUCCAGACCCAUACGCGAGGCAGGAGUGGGGAAUAGUGCACAAUGGGCGCAAGCCUGAUGGAGCCAUGCCGGGUGUAUGAAGAAGGCCUUCGGGUUGUAAAGUAGUUGCAGCGGGGAGGCGUUACCCGGCGAAGAAGCACCGGCUAACUCCGUGCCAGCAGCCGCGGUAAUAC
rnacentral:rRNA from 1 species